UAUGUUAAUUAAUUACACAGGCUAGUAUGUGUAGUGACGUAUUAAUACUAACAUUUAAAACUAUAAAUUCUAGUAAUUUUACUAGAAAUAAAAAUGUGAAGCACUUGUUAUUUACCUAAAUGUAAGGUACCCCUUAGACCCUUACAUUUGUGUAUUAAUAAAAAAAAAAAAAAAAGUAAUUGUCUAUGUAGUGUUCAAAUAUAUUAUUCAGUAUGAAGCAUGGCUUCAGUUUAUGUAUGUAAAUUAUGAGGUAAAAUUGAAUGAAUAUUCAUGAGAAUAAAGAAAGCAAAAAGGUGGAGUUUUAUGGUAUGAAAGUUUAAGAUGUGUGAUAUUUGAUUUAGUUUGUGAUAAGACUUUUCUGUUUGAUAAGAAUUAAAAUGUUAGAGAAAGAGUUGUUUUAUUACAGUUAUAACAAUAAACCUCCUGUAG
rnacentral:lncRNA from 1 species